AUUCCCUGUCCUUCAGUGACCUUCCUUCUCUGUUUCCCUACAUCUCUCUGGAGGGAUAUCUGAUUAAUAAUGAGGAGCUGGAGAUUUCUCUGGGCCUGGGAAUGGAGCCAGUAGUUUCCUAUCCAGGGUUGUCAUUGAGAUCGUCUGGGAUCUGCAAAGGAAGAAAAUAGGAGGAAGAGCAAGAAAGUGGAGCAUCAGUGGCUGGAGUCUCCGGCAAAUUGCUGAAGAGCUUCUGUUCUUCGUUUGCUUACGUUCUGGAUCGGGUGUGGACCUUCGGCAGCGUCGUCAGAUACAAAGGGGCCAGGGACAGACUGAAGAGAAAUCCUUGUUGUCUUUCUGUUUGGAGGUAUUUUGUUGUUGUUUGCUUUUUCCAGAACUUUUGUUUCCAUUUAGGCCUUGUGGUGACCCCUAAUGAUCUCGCCCCAGUAUUCCCCUCCUUGCAUCGUUUCCUUCCCACGUUGGGUCAGGAUUUCUCUGUGUGACCAAUAGAGUACAGCAGUGUUGGUUGUAAAAGGCACUGUACUUCUACCUUGCUCUGUGUUUUGGAUGGAUCACCGAUGGAAGCUGGCUGCCAUGAUGUGAAGACUCUUGAGCAGCUCUAUGAAGACGUCUUGGUGGAGGGGGACUGAGAGCUCCAGCCAGGGACUAGGUAAAGCAGAUGCUCCAUUCCCUUCAGAUGAUUGCAGCCACGGCCAGCUCCUGAUGCAACCUCAUGGAGAGGCUCUGAGUCAGAACACCCACCCUGGUAGCCUUCCUGAGUGGCGCUGGCGUGAUUUCAGGGCUGGAAGCAAGCAUAAACAAGAAAUGAGUCAGCUUUUCUCAGCCCGUGAGAAUUAUCAACACCAACAUGAUUCUGAAGGCAUCAGGGGAAGAAGAUGUAUCUCUUUAUCACGUGUUUAUCCUGCUGCUUUUCGUAUUAAUAUUGACUGUGAUAAUUACCUGCUUUCUUUCUCCCAAAUUCACAUCACGUAUUAAUAAGAAGAAAAUAUAAGUAUAUUUUUUUCCUUUUCUCAUAUAAACAUACUGAUGUAUAGAACUAUACCAUAACAUAAUGGUCUAUGAAGGAAGAGGAGCCCUGGGAAUAGAUAAAAAAGAUAAAAAGUCUAUAAAGUAAGAGACAUUGUGAAGAGAAAGAGGAAAUAAUGGCAGUCUCUGCCUUUGAAGUGAAUUGACUGCCCUGUCCUUGAGUCGAGAAUUUUGUGAUAUGAGCCAAAGUGGAAAUAUGGGCUUGGCAUGACCCUUGGGUUUUCAGAAGAUAGCAUCUGAAGCAGGCGAGGAUGCAAAUACCCUUCCUGACCUUGUAUAUAGAUAUCAUACAGCAUUUUUGGUUCCUGGUACUUCUUUAAGCAGCUUUAUCUUAAGAGUGCUUGCCUAGUAUUUCAGAUACUCUUAGAAUCGAUAGGAGAUUUCCAUUUCCACGAUGUUAUUUUGACUGCUGGGCAGCAACUAGAGAGAAGGAAGAAAAGGAAGGAAGCAGGGAGACCGUUUAGGAGGCUAUUGAAAUAAUCCAGAUGAGAGAUGACAGCGUCUUGGAAUAGAGUGGGGAUGGGUUGCCAAAGAGAAUUGAAGUCCGAAGAUUAAAUCUCUGAAAUUCAGAGUCUCAAGUCCAUAAUCAAAUCCUCUGGCCCUGUGGGCUGAUUUCACAGGAAUCAAAGUCCGGAAUUCACCAACCUCCCCACCUUCCGGUUC
ensembl:lncRNA